AGCAUGGCGUGUGACCUCCGGA
rnacentral:miRNA from 13 species